rnacentral:rRNA from 1 species
GACGAACGCUGGCGGCGUGCUUAACACAUGCAAGUCGAACGGUGAUGCUCCAGCUUGCUGGAGUGGAUCAGUGGCGAACGGGUGAGUAACACGUGAGCAACCUGCCCCAGACUCUGGAAUAAGCGCUGGAAACGGCGUCUAAUACUGGAUACGAAACUGGCCCGCAUGGGCAUGGUUUGGAAAGUUUUUCGGUUUGGGAUGGGCUCGCGGCCUAUCAGCUUGUUGGUGAGGUAAUGGCUCACCAAGGCGACGACGGGUAGCCGGCCUGAGAGGGCGACCGGCCACACUGGGACUGAGACACGGCCCAGACUCCUACGGGAGGCAGCAGUGGGGAAUAUUGCACAAUGGGCGAAAGCCUGAUGCAGCGACGCCGCGUGCGGGAUGACGGCCUUCGGGUUGUAAACCUCUUUCAGCAGGGAAGAAGCGAAAGUGACGGUACCUGCAGAAGAAGCACCGGCUAACUACGUG